UCAUCUGCUCUCUUUGCUCUGUGGUUGCUUCCUCUGAUAACAGUGGCCCUGAAGCCAUCGCCCCCCUCCCUCCCACAGACACUAAAGUAAGAACAGCAGCAGCAUUCAGCAGAGCUGAGGAAAAGUGGAACGAAUUGUGCCUUCCAGCAGAAUAGCCUGGAGAGGGGUGUGUGCGAUCUUUCUGCUCGCCCUGCUGUUGCUGGAGCCCGAUUAUUAGAGCUGCAGCUGCUCCUGCAUGACAACAGUAAACGCUGCAUAAAGACACACUCCAACAGAAGUUGUUUUUACUGUAUUUUUAUGGCAUUUUUCUCUUAAUGAAGGACGUAUGUAGGGAAAGUUCAUCUCAAAACUACAGUAUUUCUUCAUUUAAAUCGUGGUUAAAUGAGAAGCAGAUGAAAAAAAUGAGAAAGUCUGUAGCUGUGAUGCAUGUGCUACAGUUGGCGGGCUACAAGCUUCUUGCUCUGCUCCAUUCCGAUGCAUCUUCUUUUUGACAAAUAGAUCCAUGUUCGUCUUUCUUUUCCUCGUCUGAGCUGGCAUCUGGCACAAAACUGCACACCUGAAUAGCUCCAACAUUGCUCGCCAUUUUUGUUGCACCACUAAUGUUAUAUCAGGUGUGUGAGGGACUGUAAGCUGACGGGAGAGUGCGAAAAAAGAUGGAUAAUGGGAAAUGCGGGCGGGCUCGCUCCAUGGUAGCAGUUUUGUCCUCAACUCAGAGGUGAAUUUCUAAUGAACGACUGCUGCUCUGCAGAAACUACGUCCUAGAAAACACUUUGAAAUUUAGUCUAAAAGUAGUGUAAUAAUAACUAAAAGAACACUGGAAACAAUUUAUAAUAGAUUCAAAGAUGAUGGGAGUUAGAGUUUAAGGGCAUCCUCCUUGUUUUUUCUCCCAUGUUCUCUCAAACAAAGACCAAAACACACUGCAGUUGGUACAUUUUUCCAACUAAAUGAUAAAGAUGGAAAAAUGAAUAUGGGUUAAAUCAGGAUUAGUUUGAAGUGAAUGAAAAACAAAAUGUGAGUUUAAAAUAAAAAUAAAAUAAAA